UAACACAUGCAAGUCGAACGGAAACGAAACUAGCUUGCUAGUAGGCGUCGAGUGGCGGACGGGUGAGUAACGCGUAGGAAUCUGCCUGAUAGUGGGGGAUAGCCCGAAGAAAUUCGGAUUAAUACCGCAUAAUCUAUUCGUAGUAAAGUGGGGGACUUUCGAGCCUCACGCUAUCAGAUGAGCCUGCGUAAGAUUAGCUUGUUGGUAGGGUAAAAGCCUACCAAGGCAACGAUCUUUAGCUGGUCUGAGAGGAUGAUCAGCCACAUCGGGACUGAGACACGGCCCGAACUCCUACGGGAGGCAGCAGUGGGGAAUAUUGGACAAUGGGGGCAACCCUGAUCCAGCAAUACCGCGUGUGUGAAGAAGGCCCGAGGGUUGUAAAGCACUUUCAAUUGUGAAGAAAAGUUAGCGGUUAAUAACCGUUGACCUUGACGUUAACUAUAGAAGAAGCACCGGCUAACUCCGUGCCAGCAGCCGCGGUAAUACGGAGGGUGCAAGCGUUAAUCGGAAUUACUGGGCGUAAAGCGUGCGUAGGCGGUUUAUUAAGUCAGAUGUGAAAGCCCCGGGCUUAACCUGGGAACUGCAUUUGAAACUGGUCAACUAGAGUAUGGUAGAGGAAAGUGGAAUUUCUGGUGUAGCGGUGAAAUGCGUAGAUAUCAGAAGGAACAUCAAUGGCGAAGGCAGCUUUCUGGACCAAUACUGACGCUGAGGUACGAAAGCGUGGGUAGCAAACAGGAUUAGAUACCCUGGUAGUCCACGCCGUAAACGAUGAUAACUAGCCGUUGGGGGGAUUUACCCCUUAGUGGCGAAGCUAACGCGUUAAGUUAUCCGCCUGGGGAGUACGGCCGCAAGGCUAAAACUCAAAGGAAUUGACGGGGACCCGCACAAGCGGUGGAGCAUGUGGUUUAUUCGAUGCAACGCGAAGAACCUUACCUGGUCUUGACAUCCUGCGAACUUUCUAGAAAUAGAUUGGUGCCUUCGGGAACGCAGUGACAGGUGCUGCAUGGCUGUCGUCAGCUCGUGUCGUGAGAUGUUGGGUUAAGACCCGUAACGAGCGCAACCCCUAUCCUUAUUUGCCAGCACAUUAUGGUGGGAACUAUAAGGAGACUGCCGGUGAUAAACCGGAGGAAGGCGGGGACGACGUCAAGUCAUCAUGGCCCUUACGACCAGGGCUACACACGUGCUACAAUGGGAAGGACAAAGAGCCGCGAAGCCGCGAGGUGUAGCUAAUCUCAUAAAUCUUUUCGUAGUCCGGAUUGGAGUCUGCAACUCGACUCCAUGAAGUCGGAAUCGCUAGUAAUCGUAGAUCAGAAUGCUACGGUGAAUACGUUCCCGGGUCUUGUACACACCGCCCGUCAUACCAUGGGAGUGGGUUGCACCAGAAGUGGCUAGUCUAACUUUGUGAGGACGGUCACCACGGUGUGAUUCAUGACUGGGGUA
rnacentral:rRNA from 1 species